CACCUAUCUUUCCCUUGGCCUGUGGGAGAAUCGUCGCGGCAGAAAGCAAAUUGCCCUCUCUUGCGCCAGCCUGGACACGUGGAUGCUAUGCGUGUGGGCGGUGCUGCUGGGCACGCUGGGUGCCGGUUCAGCUCAGCUGGUACUUCACAGUAUCCCAUUUCUUGAAAUAAAGUACUAUAAUGGACCUGAAAUCAUCCUCCCUUGUUUGGUAACUAAUCUGAAAGAGAAUAGCCGUUUGUCAAUGUUAGUGGAAUGGCAAUUUCAAGGAAAUAAAUUUUUCUUUUAUGAUGGAGUUACUGAUAGCGUUACCAAAAACAAUAGUUUUGAUACUGCAACUUUUCUCAACCGCUCGAUGGUACCCUACGGCAUUGCUUCACUUGUUAUAUCAACAAAGCAGGCUCUUCUCGGAAAUUAUACUUGUGCAGUAACAGAAUUAAAUAGAGAAGGAAGAACAACAUUUGAACUGAGAGAGAGUUCGGGUUCAGCCCAGCUGGUACUUGACAGUAUCCCAUUUCUUGAAAUAAAGCACUGUAAUGGAGGCGAAAUCAUCCUCCCUUGUGUGGUAACUAAUCUGAAAGAGCAUAGCAGUUUGUCAAUGUUUGUGAAAUGGCACUUUCAAGGAAAUCAAUUUUUUCUUUAUGAUGGAGUUACUGAUAACAUUACCAAAAACAAUAGUUUUGAUACUGCAACUUUUCUGAACCGCUCGAUGGUACCCUACGGCAUUGUUUCACUUGUUAUAUCAACAAAGCAGGCUCCUCUUGGAAAUUAUACUUGUGAAGUAACAGAAGUAAAUAGAGAAGGAAGAACAAAAUUUGAAUUGAGAGAGAGUUCAGCCUGCCCAUCAGAAUGCGUACCUUGGUUUCAGCCUGUGGAGCGGUUCUCUAUCAUUUCCAUCAUAAUAUUGAUUGUUAUUUUAUACUGGUGCCAGUUCAUUACUGUAGCUAUAAAGUUUGACAUGGAAUUUGAAAAGAAAAUUGGCUUAAGUUUUACAGGACUAUUAAUAACAAUUUUUGCUGUGACUGGUACCAUUCUUUUUGCCCACGGUGGAUAUAUAGCAUCGGUUAAAGCUGGUAUUGGCAUCAUUGUCAUCCCUGUAAUCAUUGUAGUGCCUCUUUUAUACUUCCUGUUCACAUCAGUUUUUGAGAAGCAACCACUUUUUGCAGUUAUUUUGCUAGCUCUGAAAGCACUUGGAUAUGUAAUUGCUGUGGCUGGAUUUGCUUUGUGCGUGACAGCAUGCCAGCCAAAACAUGGAUCUGUUCUGAUUGCAGGCUUAGCAAUUAUUGGUGCUGUAGGAGCAAUUGGCUUAAUUUACAUUAUUAUUAUUGUGAAGGGCAUAUCUCAUCAUAUAUGAUUGGUUUGUUUGCUACAAUCUUCCAAAGGUUUAUCAGGUUCCAACCUGAAAGAUCAUCACCCUCCAAGGCAUUGGAUGUGAGGUUGCCAAGCAUUCCAGAUGAGACUGCAAAUUCAUAAACUCAUAUUAUGAUUUAUGUGAUUUUGUAAAUACUAUGCAAGAGGAUUCGGGGAGCUGUGUUAUCUCUAGUCUUCAUGCACUUUAAAGUAAUACAUUCAUUCUACUACACAGGGCAUAAAAAGGCUUUUUCUGGCCCUCUGUCUCCCUCUCACUGAGAAUUCACCUACCAUAAAUUCAUUGCAAAAGCAACUGCUUUAUUUAAAUAAACAUUCUAAUUUUACCUAGUACAGUAAUCCUCGACUUACAACGAUUUGUUUAGUGACCAUUCAAAGUUACCAUGGUAUUGAAAAGAAUGACUUAAGACCAUUUUUCACACUUAUGACCGUUGCAGCAUCCCCAUGGUCAUGUGAUUUAUAUUCGGCUGCUUGACAACUGGUUCACAUUUAUGACGGGUGCAAUUUCCCAGGGUCACUUUGAUCACCAUUUGUAACCUUCUGACAAAGUCAAUGGGGAAGCCAGAUUCACUUAACAACCGUGUUAUUAACUUAACAACUGCAGUGAUUCACUUUAACAACUGAGGCAAGAAAAAUCAUAAAAUGGGGCAAAACUCAUUUAAUAAAUUUCUCAGCUCAAUUAUGGUUGUAAGUCAAACACUUCCUGUGUUUAAUUUUCAAUUACCUCCCUUAUGUAAACUCAGAUCACUAUGCUGAAUCUACUCCUAUUUGUUUUAAUGUUUAGUGGAAAUUUGCUCUAUUUCCUUAUAAGUUUUCAGAACAGACUAUUGCUACUUUUCUCCCUUAUCAAUAAAUUGUGUUUCAUACCAAAAGGGCAUAGUGUCUGUUUAUUUUAAUUUAGUUGGAUAUUUUUCCUAAUAUAUAUUCAACAUUCCUCCUUUCAUCAUUGUACUACAAAUGGAAGAAGAAAAAGAUGACAGGGUAUAAAAAACCUAAAUAGCUAAAACUAUUGUAUCUCCUACCAUUCCAUGUAUCUCCUACUUUAUCUGGAUUAACUAUUCAGUCUAGCAGUUAAAACAAAAACUUCAUGAAAGUUGGCAUAAAUAACAGUCCAUAUUUUGUAUUCAAUGCUAUUAAAAUACAUAGUAGUGUGAUGAUUAAUUCCUUGUUUAAAACUAAAAUAAUUCAGUACUAGUAUAAGAAAAUUGUAUAACAUUACCUGUUUGAAUUUAUUUCAAAUCAUGCAUAAAAAGUAAAUUCCUUGACAUUAUGGGCAUCAGGACAGAGGUCAUGAAAAUGAAUUAUUCCAAAUGUAAAGUAUGAUAUCCUGUUUGCCACACCAUGAGGAGAAUGCUAUUGUGUGUUUUAAGUCAUUGAAAGCUUUCUAAUGCCAUGUAUAUUAAUUUUUCAACUCAUGUUAUAAAACUUUCUUAUUUUUAAAACUUGGUUUUAAUUAUAUGUCCAGUGUGGAGUUUAUGAAAGGAAUAAAUUUAUUUGAUGUGA